rnacentral:rRNA from 1 species
UACAGAGGGUGCGAGCGUUGUCCGGAAUCACUGGGCGUAAAGGGCGCGUAGGCGGCCCUCCUAGUCGCGUGUGAAAGCCCCGGGCUCAACCUGGGAAUGGCAAUGGAUACUGGCAAGCUAGAGUGCGGUAGAGGGUAGUGGAAUUCCCGGUGUAGCGGUGAAAUGCGUAGAGAUCGGGAGGAACACCAGUGGCGAAGGCGGCUACCUGGACCAGCACUGACGCUGAGGCACGAAAGCGUGGGGAGCAAACAGG